CAAUAGCGUAUAUUAAAGUUGUUGCAGUUAAAAAGCUCGUAGUUGGAUUUCGGGGUGGCCUGGCUGGUCCGCCGCAAGGUGAGUACUGGUCAGCCGCCCUUCCUCUCGAAAGCCCCGACUGCUCUUUACUGCAGUGGUCGGGUAGUUCGGGACGUUUACUUUGAAAAAAUUAGAGUGUUCAAGGCAGGCUAUCGCCUGAAUACAUUAGCAUGGAAUAAUGGAAGAGGACCUCGGUCCUAUUUUGUUGGUUUCUAGGGCCGAAGUAAUGAUUAAGAGGGACAGUUGGGGGCAUUCGUAUUUAAUUGUCAGAGGUGAAAUUCUUGGACUUAUGAAAGACGAACUAGUGCGAAAGCAUUUGCCAAGGAUGUUUUCAUUAA
rnacentral:rRNA from 1 species